rnacentral:misc_RNA from 1 species
GAUGAAGAACGUAGCGAAAUGCGAUAAGUAGUGUGAAUUGCAGAAUUCAGUGAAUCAUCGAAUCUUUGAACGCACAUUGCGCCCCUUGGUAUUCCAUGGGGCAUGCCUGUUCGAGCGUCAUUUGUACCUUCAAGCUUUGCUUGGUGUUGGGUGUUUGUCUCGCCUUUGCGUGUAGACUCGCCUUAAAAUAAUUGGCAGCCGGCGUAUUGAUUUCGGAGCGCAGUACAUCUCGCGCUUUGCACUCAUAACGACAGCGUCCAAAAGUACAUUUUACACACUUGACCUCGGAUCAGGUAGGGAUACCCGCUGAACUUAAGCAUAUCAAUAAGCGGAGGA